rnacentral:rRNA from 1 species
GACGAACGCUGGCGGCGUGCUUAACACAUGCAAGUCGAGCGGAAAGGCCCUUCGGGGUACUCGAGCGGCGAACGGGUGAGUAACACGUGAGCAACCUGCCCUUGGCUUUGGGAUAACCCUCGGAAACGGGGGCUAAUACCGAAUAUUAACUGCUGGAUGCAUGUUUGGUGGUUAAAAGUUUUUCGGCUGAGGAUGGGCUCGCGGCCUAUCAGCUUGUUGGUGGGGUAAUGGCCUACCAAGGCGACGACGGGUAGCCGGCCUGAGAGGGCGACCGGCAACACUGGGACUGAGACACGGCCCAGACUCCUACGGGAGGCAGCAGUGGGGAAUAUUGCACAAUGGGCGAAAGCCUGAUGCAGCGACGCCGCGUGAGGGAUGACGGCCUUCGGGUUGCAAACCUCUUUCAGCAGGGACGAAGCGCAAGUGACGGUACCUGCAGAAGAAGCGCCGGCCAACUACGUGCCAGCCGCCGCCGUAA